UACGGAGGAUCCAAGCGUUAUCCGGAUUUAUUGGGUUUAAAGGGUGCGUAGGCGGAUUGAUAAGUUAGAGGUGAAAUGUCCGAGCUCAACUCGGGAACUGCCUCUAAUACUGUUGAUCUAGAGAGUAGAUGCGGUAGGCGGAAUGUAUGGUGUAGCGGUGAAACGCUUAGAGAUCAUACAGAACACCGAUUGCGAAGGCAGCUUACCAAUCUAUAUCUGACGUUGAGGCACGAAAGCGUGGGGAGCAAACAGG
rnacentral:rRNA from 1 species